CACAUACAGGAGGCUCUUGCAGGGUCUAGCAAGGUAUUAACAUAGCAGGGGAUAAGAAAAUCUUAAUUAAACAGAACUUGCAAUAAAGAAAGCCUAAAUAGGGCUCUCUUUACAGGAAGUGUUUAUGGAAGGCUGUGCAAGUCCCAUGCAGGGAGGUGUGACUAGGGUUCAUAAACAAAGGGAUUUAACUCCUAAAUGGCAGAGGAUUGAGCAGUGAGGCUGCAGGGGCAUGUUCU